GGUGGGUCCCAAAGCGCCUGCCACUAGGGAUAUCCCUUGUGGCAGGGUCAACAGACGAUCCGCUUCCACGCCGGCCUUGCUCUCUCGUUCGACCUUCGAAGGGCCGCGUCUCUCUCCAGCUUCUCUCUUCCUGGGACUGAUUGCAGUUGAGAUCGUUAUAGGGUUCCUCUCCUCUCCAGAGACCUAGGGUUUCUUCGAGCUUGCUGCUGCUGAUUUUGGCGAUGGAUAUCAUCGGGAUGAAGGGGAGUGCAUUGGUGCUCACAGAUGAUGUGAUUUUGCCUGUAGGUGCAGUUCUGUCUGCAGUGAGGGAGGUUGGAAAUGAAUCAGUUGGAGAUAAUGAAAUGCUAGUCGUCACACAAGCUUCUGUUUUAUGAGAGUUGCCAUUUGAGUCUUCAUCACUGAAUAUCACUGUUGCCAUAUCAAAAACCCCAGAACUUCUCAGCCAGCAGUGGCUUGAAGAGAUUGCUAGGGUGUUGAAACCUGGUGGGAUGAUCCUCCUGCAGACACCUCUGUCUAAUAAGCCCACGGAUGAGCCAAGCUUCACACAUGAGCGCAAGCUACUCUUGACAGGAUUUGUAGAGGCACAAGUUCUCCAAGUGAAACCAUUUGUACCGCUGGUUGACACCAAAUCUUUUACUAUUAGGGCCAAGAAGCCUUCUUGGGAGAUGGGAUCAUCUUUUUCCAUUAAGACAACAGCUAAUAGUUUGCCCAAAGUUCAGAUUGAUGAUGAUUCAGAUCUGAUUGAUGAAGAUAGUUUCCCAAGUGACGAAGACUUGAAGAAACCCCAACUGCCACUUGUGGGUGAUUGUGAAGUUGGAGGCAAAAGGAAAGCAUGCAAAAACUGCACCUGUGGUCUUGCUGAGGCAGUGGAGAAAGUGCAGAAGCUUGGGCUGAUUGCAGAGCAGCUGAAUAAUCCUCAAUCCGCAUGCGGCAAUUGUGGACUUGGUGAUGCAUUCCGGUGUAGUGGAUGCCCUUACAAGGGUCUCCCCCUAUUCAAACUAGGUGAAAAGGUAUCACUACCCGGAAACUUCCUUGCAGCUGAUAUAUAAAUGGUGAGUUGAGCCUCAUGGACAUGGAUAUUAUUUAACUCGAACCAUGCUCGAGAGACUGGGAAACCAGCUUUUCAAAUGUGAUGGGCUGUUGAUGAAGAAACAGGAGCUUGGGUUUGAGAAACCAUGCUUUGAAAACAAACCAGACAUAGGUUCCAAAACAAGUAGGGUGAAUGCAGUUGGAAUUACAUGUUAUACUGUGGUAUUGGUGAGAUUUAGAAGUGUUACAAACAGGGUUGACUGCAAUAGGAAAUUGCAUGCUUAUACUGUGGCAUCUGUGAGAUUUAGGGGGGCUGGUACUUUGGGUUGUCAGUACCCCUUGCACUGGCUGUUGCUUGUGUUUAUUGAGAUUUGAGAAAUCAGAGGCUGUGUUGGUUGUGUUUA